rnacentral:rRNA from 1 species
AACGUAGGAGGCAAGCGUUAUCCGGAUUUACUGGGUGUAAAGCGCGUGCAGGCGGUUUGUCAAGUCGCGUGUGAAAGCGCCCGGCUCAACCGGGCGAGGCCGCGCGAAACUGGGAAACUGGAGGCCGGUAGAGGCGUGUGGAAUUCCGGGUGUAGUGGUGAAAUGCGUAGAGAUCCGGAGGAACACCAGUGGCGAAGGCGACACGCUGGACCGAGCCUGACGCUCAGACGCGACAGCAUGGGGAGCGAACGGG